UACGUAGGGCGCAAGCGUUGUCCGGAAUUAUUGGGCGUAAAGGGCUCGUAGGUGGCCAACUAAGUCAGACGUGAAAUCCCUCAGCUUAACUGGGGAACUGCGUCUGAUACUGGAUGGCUUGAGUUUGGGAGAGGGAUGCGGAAUUCCAGGUGUAGCGGUGAAAUGCGUAGAUAUCUGGAGGAACACCGGUGGCGAAGGCGGCAUCCUGGACCAACACUGACACUGAGGAGCGAAAGCCAGGGGAGCAAACGGG
rnacentral:rRNA from 1 species